UACGGAGGAUCCAAGCGUUAUCCGGAUUUAUUGGGUUUAAAGGGUGCGUAGGCGGCCUGUUAAGUCAGGGGUGAAAGACGGUAGCUCAACUAUCGCAGUGCCCUUGAUACUGAUGGGCUUGAAUUGACUAGAGGUAGGCGGAAUGAGACAAGUAGCGGUGAAAUGCAUAGAUAUGUCUCAGAACACCGAUUGCGAAGGCAGCUUACUAUGGUCAUAUUGACGCUGAGGCACGAAAGCGUGGGGAUCAAAC
rnacentral:rRNA from 1 species